rnacentral:pre_miRNA from 1 species
CUGUGCUGUGGGCCCAGGAGGCAGAACUCUGGUGUCUCGCCAUGGCCUGGAUCCCUCUCCUGCUUCCCCUCCUCACUCUCUGCACAGGUGC